rnacentral:other from 1 species
GUAACGCAAGCCUGAACGGCUUGAUUCUUUUUGAAUCAAUUGGUUUGCUGUUGCGAUGUUGUGUUUGCAAACUCGUUUUUCGAGUUCGGUAGUUUCUACCACCCUGUUUUGUACAGUUAUCCCCUGUAACAAAACAAAUACUUCCUGUAUUUAUUUUUUGACCUGUCUGUCAAAUAUUUAGCACCGCCUUUUGGCGGUGUUUUUUUAU